AUGGCAACAUGCCAGGCUCCCACUAGCGCGCCGGAGCUGUCGUCGUCGUCGGGGAGGAGCGCGACGGAGGUGAGGUCGCUGAAGGUCCAUAGCGAGUCGGAGAGGCGGCGCCGGGAGAGGAUCAAUACCCACCUGGCCACGCUGAGGAGAAUGAUCCCUGAUGCUAACCAGAUGGACAAGGCCACCUUGUUAGCAUGUGUGGUGAACCAAGUGAAGGAACUCAAGAGGAAAGCAACUGAAACCACACGAUUGCAAGCAACAGCGCCCAUCCCUUCGGAGGCCAACGAGAUCACCGUCCAUUGCUACACCGCCGCCGGCGACAACCAGACCACGUAUAUUCGUGCCACCGUCAGCUGUGACGACCGGCCGGGACUCUUCGUUGGUCUGGCCGGAGCGUUCCGUGGCCUCGGGCUGAGGGUGCUGAGAACAGAGACGGCCUCUCUGGGAGGCCGGGCGAGCCAUUUGUUUGUAUUGUGCAAGGAGGACGGCGAUGUCGGUGCGGGCCUGAGGGCCAUGGAGGGGGCCGUCCGGCAAGCGAUGGCCGAGGUCGCCUUCCCGGAGAUGGUGUGCGGUGGCAGCUCGUGGAGCAAGAGGGAGAGGAUUUUAGAGUGCUGCCCGGUCAUGUACUCCGUAUAG
rnacentral:rRNA from 1 species